UAACUCAAUGAUAAUUGCUCCGUCUCUAAGCAGUUUGAAUCUAUAAAUAGAAUAACAAAAGGAAGGAAACGAAAUUUUAAACUGAUUUCCGCCAUUAAAAAAAUAACAUGAAACCUACAGUUCACGACACAUCGCAUAGGAAUUUAAAAUAAAUAUUAGGCCUAUAGGUUUAAUACAUAUUGCUUAGAAUAUAGAAAUUUAGAUCUAGUGUUCUGGUUAGUAGUUAUUUCAUGUUUAUUAGAAUAUAGUUUAGAAUCUAAUCAUACGGCUGCAUAAAAAGAAAGUUUGAAGGAAAUAGAAUAGGAAUCUAGAGAAGCGGAGUGUUUUCCGCACUCGAGAGGAAAGAGGUUGCAGGGAACUUAGAGACUAAUCUUUGCCAACAUACUGGAUUUCUGGUGAUGACAAUAGCAGCAGAUAGUAUGCGGCUCAGUUAAUACUAAAAACAAUUGAUUUUAGUAAUUAGUGGACUAUGAGUGUGUGUUUGGCCAUCCAGAUUUCAUAACUACAACUGAUGUUCAAUUACAAGGGAUAUUAAUCAGUCUCCGUGGACUAUACACUGUGCCUAGUUUCAUCCUCAGAGACUGAUGUGUAAGCUUAAAGUAAAGACAUCAAAUCAAAGUAUCAGCCAUCAAGAGGAAAAACAUUCAAAAUCAUAUUGUGAUACACAAGUCAAGCAAGUCUGACCAGCAUUUUGAUACAGGCCAAGAAAAAGCUGGAUACUUGAUUGGAAGGGUCGCACAAAAAACAUGGGUUAUCA